CCCAGCGGCGAUGUCGCGUUGUGUUCCCAAUGGGUCACUUAAGUUAAGCAACGUUGCGCGUGGUUGGUGUUCGGAUAGGUGACUAUCAGGGCAAUCGCGUGUUGCUGUUU
rnacentral:rRNA from 1 species